rnacentral:rRNA from 1 species
AACGAACGCUGGCGGCAGGCUUAACACAUGCAAGUCGAACGAGAUCUUCGGAUCUAGUGGCAGACGGGUGAGGAACACGUGGGAACAUCCCUUUCAGUUCGGAAUAACGUUGGGAAACUAACGCUAAUACCGGAUACGUACUUCGGGAGAAAGAUUUAUCGCUGAAAGAUUGGCCCGCGUCUGAUUAGCUAGUUGGUGAGGUAACGGCUCACCAAGGCUACGAUCAGUAGCUGAUCUGAGAGGAUGAUCAGCCACGUUGGGACUGAGACACGGCCCAAACUCCUACGGGAGGCAGCAGUGGGGAAUAUUGGACAAUGGGCGCAAGCCUGAUCCAGCCAUGCCGCGUGAGUGAUGACGGCCUUCGGGUUGUAAAGCUCUUUUGUCCGGGAAGAUAAUGACUGUACCGGAAGAAUAAGCCUCGGCAAACUUCGUGCCAGCAGCCGCCGUAACAC